AACGCACCUUGCGCUCCUUGGUAUUCCGAGGAGCAUGCCUGUUUGAGUGUCAU
rnacentral:rRNA from 1 species